GCGGAGCUGCCCGGUUCGGCAGGACACAUUGCAUCCCCGGGGCCUUAUCGAUCUCGAAGGGAGCUGUCCCUGGUUGGACCCGUGGGUCCUUUCAAACGGCGCCCACCUGUGCAAACAGGUUCCCGGGAUCAAACCGUCCACCGGCUGGCGCGGCCCCGCA
rnacentral:other from 1 species